UACGUAGGGGGCAAGCGUUGUCCGGAAUCAUUGGGCGUAAAGAGCGUGUAGGCGGCCCGGUAAGUCCGCUGUGAAAGUCCAGGGCUCAACCCUGGAAUGCCGGUGGAAACUGUCGGGCUAGAGUCCGGAAGAGGCGAGUGGAAUUCCUGGUGUAGCGGUGAAAUGCGCAGAUAUCAGGAGGAACACCGGUGGCGAAGGCGGGUCUCUGGGCCGUAACUGACGCUGAGGAGCGAAAGCGUGGGGAGCGAACAGG
rnacentral:rRNA from 1 species